AAUACUUUUCAUCACACUUAGGUUUCAAAGCCUAUUCAUGUGAAUUAUGUGCUGUGCUUCUCGUUAACCUCCUGCAAAUCUAAUAUAAUGGAGACACAGAACAUAAUAGUAGAUGCUGAGUUGGAGUGAGAUCCAAGGUUUUGGAGCUGAGGAAGUUGAAGCCAUUGAAAAACGGCUUGUAAUACUUGGCAUGUAUGCUUGAGACAUGCUUGUUC
rnacentral:lncRNA from 1 species